CAUGCCGCGUGCAGGAUGAAGGCUCUUCGAGUCGUAAACUGCUUUUAUCGGGGAAGAACGGCCAGGGUGCGCCCUGGUGUAACGGUAUCCGAUGAAUAAGCACCGGCUAACUCCGUGCCAGCAGCCGCGGUAAUACGGAGGGUGCAAGCGUUGUCCGGAUUUAUUGGGUUUAAAGGGUGCGUAGGCGGGUAAUUAAGUCUGGUUUUAAAGCAGGUCGCUCAACGAUCUAAUGUGGCUGGAUACUGGUUAUCUUGAAAUUGUUGGCCGCAGCCGGAAUGGGUCAUGUAGC
rnacentral:rRNA from 1 species